UGUCUGUGUGUUUGGUUGUUGUGGUUUGAUUUGUUUGUGGAUGACGAGGUCUUCCUCCGUUGUGUUUUGUUGUGGCGAGUAGAAGAGGAGUGGGUCUCCUUUGGGUGAUGGUUAUAGAAAAUUCCAUGGUAGAGUUGGAUGAGGAAGGUGCAGGAAGAGGCAUUGAAAUGAGAGUGAAUUGAAUGCAGAAGAUGAAGAUGAAGAUGGUGGCAGUAGGAGAGAAGAGAAGAGAAGAGAAGUUUAUGAUAUUGGUUGAUGGAAAGUGGGAAUUUAUAGGAAAAAAUAGAGACUAAUGGAAGAAAAGUAUAACAUAUGUAUGACUGUUGGAACUUGUCAAACUAUGGAACCAGUCUCUAUAUUUCUAAUUCUAGCGAUUCAAGGUCCAAUCAUGUCCCAUGACUCACCAUAACCAAUUCACAUUCACCAUUUAUUUCCAAAUUUCCUUAUUUUCUUUAUUCGUUUAAAAUGUUUAUAUAUAUAUAUAUAUAUAUAUAUAUAUUAUAUAGAUAUAGAUAUAUAUAUUUUGAUAACUAAUAACAUUUUUAAGAGACUACACUCUUUUCACAUUAUUCAAAGAAAAUAAUAUUAUUUAUAACAAUAAUAUAAAAAUUUAAAUCUCAAAAUCAUUAAAGUUUAAGAAAAUUUAGACAGAAUAAGAUUAUGAAAAUCUGUUUUAUUAAUAAAAAAUUAUUUAAAUAAAUAAAUUAAUUUUUUCUUAAUAAAAUUUCGAUUCAAAAGUAUUAUUGAUAUUUCUACCAAUUCAAGACACACAGUAUAAACUUAACUCAUAAAACUUAUUAAAAACAUCUCGUUGAAAAUAUUGAAAAUGGCAAAUUCUUCCUCCACACUCAUGCGUUUCUCCUCCUGCACUUCGGUUUUAACUUCUUAAAUUUUUUAAAUAACUAAUGAAGCAUAAUGUUAUAUUUUUAAAUAAUCUUAGUUGCACUCCGCAUUCCAUAUCUUCCUUCCAACCGCAUAUCUUCCUUCUAAUUGCAACACUUAUAUUUUUCUCCAACUGCAAUGUUUGAGAGAGCAAUUUCAUCAUUUGACCGUAUGUAAGAAGGUUGGCGAAAAUAUUCAUUGUAUUCAACGUUUCCCAAUGUGAAGAUAUUUGUUUUUAGUUGUGUGCUCCAUUUUUUGCACCGGACUGAUAUUUUUUUUUUCUGAUUUCUGUGACUUUUGGAAGAAUGACUAUUGUACUAGAAGGAGUGCUCGAUACUAGAAUGACUAUUGGUCCAGUUUUAAUGGUAAGCACGGUAAGGAAUAAUUAAAGUAGAUAAAAUAUUGAGUUGAAUAUAUAUGUUAAUAUAUAUAAAGUUGUUAGUCAAAUAUGUAUGUUAAUAUAUGUAGAAGCUAUUAGAAUAUAUGCAUAAAGUCGUUAGUUAAAUGAGUAAAGUUGUUAAUUAAGUAGCGAGUACCCGUGAAUAAAGGUGCACGAGAUUCUCUUCUUUUUUUAGCAUUGUGAGAGAAGGUGCCCAUAGGCAAAAUAUAUUUUUGGUAUAUAUGCUUUCAGUUAAGAUUAUAUUCUCGUGGGUGAAAGUUGUUAAAGGGAUAACUAUAAAAUGGGCUUGAGACCCCCCAGUAAAGGUAUGUUGUUUUUUAGUACUUUAGACUGGAACUGAUUACUAAUUUUGUAUGCUAUCACUGACUUGAUCAUCGGAGUGUGAUCAACAGGUAGAUCCCCCUCGGUUUUAGUGGAAUGUUGUUCUAGUGCACCAAGAGGAGAUAGGCUAGAAGCGGAGCUCUCCAUUCAGUCCAACCGAAGGUCAACUGGCGAAAACAUUUGGCGCCCACCAUGGAGUACGAUAAAACUUGAUCCUAUCCGCAUUCGUAAUUGAGUUUUCUAAAGUGAUGAGAAACACAAGGCAAGGCCCGCAGAGAUCUGAAGGAGGUGAUGUCCCUGUUUUACAGCAACUCAUGGAUGCCAUGAGGGCCCUCCAAGAGGCAAAUGAGGAGCACAGACGAGAGCAAGAACGAAUCCAAGAAGAAGCCAAGGCUGAGCAAGAGAGGCUAGGAAAGCCCAAGUUGAGUAGGAGAGGUUAGGAGCGGAAGCCGAGCUGAGCAAGAGCUUUUACAGAGGAACGAAUGCCAUCCAAUGUAAAAUGUUCAUGGGUACUUUUACAAGUACAAUCCUACAAUGGUUCACCGGGAUCCCUGAUGGUUAGAUCACCUCUUUCUCUUAGUUUUCCUUGAUGUUUAGAGAGUAGUUCUCCUCCAACAAGGUCAAACCCCCAAUGAUAUAUGACCUCUUUGGCGUAAGGCAAAGGGAGGGAGAGUCAUUGAAGGAUUACCUAAAUAGGUUCAGUGCGCAUGAUGAAGAUAUGAUGAUUGCCGAAGAGAUCGCGACUCGUUAAUCAAAAAUCCAGUAGAGAAAUUUUCCGAGGUACGAGAAUGAGCUGUCCUAAGGAUGUGGUUAGAAAGAAUGACAACUUGCAUUUAAGGCAAGCUAGUCCUAAGGAAAUCGAUCGAGCUCGACCCUUACGAGUCAACGAAACAUCGACCGAGAAGAGAAUGAACUCGAGGUACGUGCCAUACGUAGCCAAGAGAAAUGAGCCCAAGACAAAGGCCAAGGAGGAGUUAGCAACUCGGUCCAAAUUUCGAGUUUCCUACAAAGAAUUAUUGAGCAUGCCAAGGAUAGCUGACAAACUGUGUAAUUUUCAUUUUAAAGAAAUGUAGCAGGUAAGUUUUCAUGAAAACACAUGCUAGUGAGUUAGAAAAUCCAAGCAACUUUUUUUCCCAAUUAAAUUGUAUGCAUAUAAGAUUUUAAGGACUGAAUUUAAACACAUUAAUAUGAUUUUCAAUAUUAAAUGCAUAGUAAAAUAUAGUAUUCAACUUUCAAAAUAUAGAAAUUUUUAUUUGUACUUUUUUUCGUUUUUCCCUUUGAAGAUAACUUUAUUAUGCUUGAUUCAAACUUUGAUUAUAUAUAUAUAUAUAUAUAUAUAUAUAUAUAUAUGUAUGUAUAUGUGUGUAUGUAUAUUCUGCAUGAUUGACACUCUGACUUAGCAUUCAGUCCAAACCGAUCGACACAACCAAAACCGUUACGCCUAAAUAGGAUUAACGAGACUAAUCAAUGAUCAAGCAUUAGGUAAUGCACUCCUAAUCAUGACCCAACUUCCUAAUCCACCCAAUAACAACAGGCCCAUGAUAAACAACAAUUCUUUCUUCAUCUUGCAUUCUCGAAUAUAAAUCAACCAUUGCAAUCAAAUUUUGUUUGUCCUCUCUACUUCUCGGUAUUCUUAAACUAUUUUAAGGCUUGCCAUAUAACAUUCCCUUAUUGCUCAUUGAUCAACAUAAAUGGUUGCAAUUUUUCCCUUUUCAGUUGGAAACUUCAUAGCUAAAUGUGGUGUUGACACUAUAGCUCCUAACUUGUUUAAUGAAGACCUCCCCAACAAAGCAUUGUACGAAGUGCAUGCAUCCACAACUAAGUAUCUAAUUUUAAUUUUCUUCGUCACAUUUCCCAUUCCAUACGUGGUUUUCAAAUCUAUAUAUCCCCUUAUACUUACCCUCACACCCUAGAACCUAAUUAUUUGCUCUCAGUGUGGUAUAAUAUCUUCUUCCCUCAAAUUGAGUUUCUGAAAUGUCUCCCAAAAUAGAAUAUCAACAGAACUUGCUUGAUCUACCAAAGUCUUCAUAAUCGCAUACUUUGCUAUCUCCGCCGUAAUCACCAUGGGGUUAUCUUGUUCUGGAUGAAUUGCUUGAAAGUCUUUGUUAGUGAACAUAAUUGGUGGCAUACUUCUCUUUUUAGAAAUAGAAUUUAUUGUCCCAACGUUUCUCAAAUUCUUCUUUCUGGAAAAUGAGGAUACUCCUCUUCCAGCAAACCCUCCUGAAAUUGUGUUAAUAAAUCCUCUAACAGGUCUUCCUAAAUUUCGUUCUCAGCUUCUUCUCCUUUGAGAACUUUGAUGGUUCCUCUAUUCUUUUCGUUCAACCUUUUCCUCCCUUUUGUCGUCCCUUGUAUCAUACCUUUCUUCUCUUUUAUUCCCAUACCUCCUUUCCUUCUGCUUUGGAAUUUUUCCCCUUCUCGGAACUCCCCAAUCUCUUACAAAAAGCCUUAACUGUCCAACUUAAACUAAUUCUUCUCUUCAACCUUUCAAUGUUAUACAUUCUUCUGUGUAGUGACCAUGGUUUCUGUGAUAUUGACAGUGUUUGCUUUGAUAAGCUCAUUCUGUUGUUCAUGCUUUUCUCGGUGCUGGUAUUAUCUCUACUGUCAUUGCCUUUUGUAAUAUCCAAGCUCGAUUAGUACUCAAAGGUGUGAAAUGUUGAAAUUUUUUUCUAUGUGGUCCUUCUCUAAGUCUUCUAUACUGAUGUCCUCCUUCUCUUUCACUAUGUUUCUUUUCAACUCCACUAUUUUCUCUUACUUGAUUUCGAAAAUCCCUCAACUCUUACAUUUGCAUAAAAUUUGUUACACGUGUCUCAUUUCUUCGAGAUUAGUAGUAGGUUUUUAACGAAGGUUAUCGGUAAGAGGUCCUAACCUUAAUUUCGUGAUCAUGUGAUGCAUUGUUACCUAUGGACUUAAAUUAUGUAUACUGAGUGCAACUUUUCCAAAACUUUCCAUAAACAACCUAAGCGAUUCUCCUUUUUCCUGCCUUAUAUUAACUAAAUCAAUUGAAGUUAAAUGAUGUGGUCCACUUGUAGCAAAUUGCAUUCCAAACUUCUCGACAAGUGUAUCAAAACAGUCAAUAGAUAGUGGAGGUAAACGAGUAAACCAACAUAACGCCGCUGCCUUCAAAGUUGUUGGAAAUACUCAGCAUAGAAUGACAUCAUUCUAGGUAUACAAGCUUAUCUCUGUUGUGUAAAUAACUAUAGGCUGAUUAGGAUCCGUGCUUCCAUCAUACUUAUCCAUGGUUGGAUUUUUCUAGUUCUCAAGCAAUAGAGUCUUUAUGAUUGCUUCCAAAUGAGGUUUUAUUUAAAAUUGUUUCUUCAUUCAACUUUUGUUUCAUAUACACGUUUUAAAAUAUUAAAAUACUCAGCUCUUCAUCAGUGUUUAAGUUUAGAGUUUCAAACUCCUUUUGCAAUUUCAUUAACAUAGCCAUUGACAUGGCGUUCAGGUUAUCUUCCUGUGCUCCUGCUUGGUCUCCCCUUCUACUUUUCAUCCUUCAAUUCUUCAAUUAAAUACUUCGGGCCCUACAAUAGGCACCAAAAUGUUCUUACAGGGCCUUUGAAGUAAAUAAAUUUUCUUCCUUUCCUCCUCACAACCUUUUAUUCUCUCGCUGAUAACUUGGGCUUAGUUACUGGAUCAAUUGACUUGGACAAUCUUUUGGUCAUAUGGUCUUGGGCCCACUCUUGGCUACUGGGCAUGGGCUCACUCUCGGCCGUUGGAUGUACCUACAAGGUGCUCCGAUGAUAAAGUCAGAAUCAGUUUAAUUAAGUUAUAUAAAAACACUCUACUUACCUGUUAAACAAAUAAUCUAUUUAUAGUAUUCAUUAUUGACUUUAUUAAUUUAAUUGGAUUUUACUUUUUAGACCUUGCACUUACUAAAUGUAUUUUUAAUAUUUUUGAAAGAUCUUGAUACAUUAUUCACUUAUUUUAUUAUUUUUUUAUAUUAUUCUAACUUCAUUUAAUUUUUUUAAUACUCUAAUGACUUUUCGACCUCUCGGUCUCUCUAACUAUUAUGAAAGCAAAAAUAUUAAUUUAAAGUGGAUUAUAUACAACAUUUCUGGUGGGAGUGGAAAUCUCUAGGAUUGAUAUACCGCCAUUCUAGAAUACUUAGUGUUACUUUUAAAAGCAUCUUAACCCCUCAUGCUGAACUUAUGGCAGUGUUAAUGACUACACAAUUGUUAGACUUAGGAAUGAAACGAUAUGGGAGGAGAGGGAAUCAAAGUUCUCCAUAAUACUAAUUUGUAGUGUUUUCUGAAAUAAAAUUAUCUGGGAUGAGCAGACAUAAAGAUAACAUAAAUGAUGGUUGUACGGAGAAGGGUGUUAGAGCCACUUAAGAUUUUUGAGAAUUUUUCUUCAAUCUUCUUUUCCUCUUGUUGUUAGCUCUUGCUCUCAGAAGUAAUGAAUGCAGAGUAAUAUACAAAAAGGAAGAAAACUACAAUUAACAUGUUAGUGCUUAUAAUUUGAAGACCUCAAAGUCUUGAACGCGUAUUUUUAUAAUGGUCAACUAAGUGGCACUUGCUGCUUCUCUUGGAAUAAAUUUUAUUGGUCAAGAUGCUCUUUUGUCUCCAUUUAACAACACAACUUGUUUUGUAGUUAAUAAUCUACUAUCAAGUUUCUUCUAUUUCAGUCAAAAUCCUUCUGUGUAUAAUAAAAUAUCAUUUUUAUUUCAAAAUGAGAGACAUGUUUAAUUGUAUAUUUAUUAUCUUUAUUUCUUAAUGUUUUUUAAUACAUAUUUAUUUGUAUUGCUAUUUUACUUCGUGUAUCUAUUUAUUUAUUAUAAUAAGAAAUGUAAACAGAUAAGGACAUGAAUUAAAAAGUUUUACAACUGAGAAUAAGAAAAAACAUAAAGUAAAUUGGCAGUCCCAAGUAAAUGUUAUAUACAAAACAACAACUGUUGUUUUCAAAAGGACUAUACUCUGGUAAAUGAUUCAUUUAAUAUUCAGUUAGAUACAUUUUUAAAUAGCUAAAUAGAAAUCAAUAAUACAAACCAACUGCCAAAAUAAAAUAAAAAUCAAUAAAUUUUACAACAAUCUAUAACAAUAAAUUUUAUAACAAUCUAUAACAAUAAAUUUUAUAUAUUUUUCUUAUUUUACUAACUAAUUUUUUUCCUAUUCACACAUUCAAUGCGAUUAGAGUCUCAUUCUGAAGGCGUCCACUUUUUUUCUUCACUAAUUAUUUUGUAGUUAAUAAUUCCUUAUCAAGUUUCUUCUAUUUUAGUCAAAAUCCUCCUCUGUAGGAUAGAAUAUCAUUUUUCUUCACUGCAUUUGUCACUCAUUGUUAUCGAUGGUUGUGUUAAACCUAUCUUCUUCUCUGAACUAUAAUCUACUUCUUAAAGAAUCAAAUUCAUUAUAACAUUCACACAGUUAUAUCAAGUUUAAUAAUUGUAAGUGUCUAUUCUAAAGAAUUGAUUAGCUCUAAUACAGAAUAUAGAAAUAAAGACAUAAUGCAACAAAAUCUUUCAUCAUUAAUUACAUGAUUACAGUUUGGAAGAUAAUGACGAAAUAAAGUUGGUUGGGACCAAAGAAAAAAUGGAAAGAAAGGAAGCAGUUUGGUUGUGUUUAUGGAAGGAUUGUUACUGGAUCUUUUCCUUUAUGUGGAUUGUGCGCUGUUUUUGUUAGCAGAGGAGUGUCUGUGUGUUUGGUUGUUGUGGUUUAAUUUGUUUGUGGAUGACGUGGUCUUCCUCCGUUGUGUUUUGUUGUGGCGAGUAGAAGAGGAGUGGGUCUCCUCUGGGUGAUGGUUAUAGAAAAUUCCAUGGUAGAGUUGGAUGAGGAAGGUGCAGGAAGAGGCAUUGAAAUGAGAGUGAAUUGAAUGCAGAAGAUGAAGAUGAAGAUGGUGGCU
rnacentral:lncRNA from 1 species